rnacentral:rRNA from 1 species
UACAGAGGUCUCAAGCGUUGUUCGGAUUCAUUGGGCGUAAAGGGUGCGUAGGCGGCGCGGUAAGUCGGGUGUGAAAUCUCGGGGCUUAACUCCGAAACUGCAUUCGAUACUGCCGUGCUUGAGGACUGGAGAGGAGAUGGAAUUUACGGUGUAGCGGUGAAAUGCGUAGAUAUCGUAAGGAAGACCAGUGGCGAAGGCGGGGUCUCUGGACAGUUCCUGACGCUGAGGCACGAAGGCCAGGGGAGCAAACGGG